GUGAGAAACCCACAGUUAGUCUUUGCACUUCCCUCUGUUUGAAGAAGAUGAAGGGAUCCGGUGGGGGAGGAAGGUGAGAUGGCGAACCUCUUCAACACCUUUGAUGCUCAAAAGGCAGCAGGAGAUCAGAGACGGGCAAGAUGGAGGAAGGGGCUGGAGGCAAGAGCAACAACAUAUUGCAAAGAGAGGGGGGCAGAAAAGAAACUUAGAUGGGAGGAGAGUAAGUGUUCCAGCAGCAGAAAAGACAGAGAUGGAGAUCCAUGGCAGCAAUAACGUCACAUGUCAAAGCAGCAGAACCACAAGGACACCUCACAAUACAAGAAACAAAGCAGUGAAGAAGAUGGUGAUCAACUCCAUUCAUCAGCAGGGCGAUGAUCAAAGCUCCUGGUUCAGGACUGUGGACAGCUCCCUCACUGGCGACACUCUGAGCUUCAGCACCACGGGUGACAGUGGAGUGCGUCCCUCUCAGCAGAAGAGUUGUUCACACCUGCUGCCAGUAGAUGUGGAGAGCAGCGACAAGGACUUGGACAAAUACGUGACAGCCACAAAACACAAAUAUUGGUGCAGCUCCGAUGUUCCCCUCGUUCACACUGCGUGUUAAGUAUGAGCGCCUCUAGGAUCUCCCAUCUCUGCUGGCUUCCAUUCCUGAUGAAGACCACGGAAAAUAGGUUGAAAGAGUCCUGCUUUGACCUGAAGUCUGGACAGUAAUCUCACGCACCGUACUGAAGACGAAGAGGAAACUUUCCCACUGCAAAGAAGGAAACACCUUGACAGGCUGCAGUCAAGUGCUGAGUGUAAUUAUCAGUGUUGAACAGUGUUGCCAAAAUGGAAAAAAAAAAAGGCUCUUGUUUACAUUGGUAACCGUGCAAUAGCACCCACCCUCAUCUUUCCAACCAGAAAUCACUUAAUGGACCAACUAAUGGACAUAACUACAGCAGAAGCCUGUCUGGGUGCAACAGCAGUCCAUCAUUGUUGGGAGAUCCGGGUGGACGGAUGGCAUCAGCAUGUAUUUGACAUAUGGAUUCCUCAAAUCAAACUUCCAGCCUCAAGUGAAAAACUUUUUUUUUUUUUUUGUGAGAACAUGUCAUUCAAAUUUGCC